rnacentral:rRNA from 1 species
AGCAGCCGCGGUAAUUCCAGCUCCAAUAGCGUAUAUUAAAGUUGUUGCAGUUAAAAAGCUCGUAGUUGAAUUUCGGGGUUAGUAGGUCGGUCAUGCCACUGGUAUGUACUGGUCUCACUGAUUCCUCCUUCCUGAUGAACCGUAAUGCCAUUAAUUUGGUGUUGCGGGGAAACUGGACUGUUACUUUGAAAAAAUUAGAGUGUUUAAAGCAGGCUAACGCUUGAAUACAUUAGCAUGGAAUAAUGAAAUAGGACGUUCGAUCCUAUUUUGUUGGUUUCUAGGAUUGACGUAAUGAUUAAUAGGGAUAGUUGGGGGCAUUAGUAUUCAAUUGUCAGAGGUGAAAUUCUUGGAUUUAUUGAAGACUAACUACUGCGAAAGCAUUUGCCAAGGAUGUUUUCAUUAAUCAAGAACGAAAGUUAGGGGAUCGAAGACGAUCAGAUACCGUCGUAGUCUUAACCAUAAACUAUGCCGACUAGGGAUCGGAUGAUGUUAAUUUUUUAAUGACUCAUUCGGCGCCUUACG